UGGGGAACAUUGCACAAUGGGGGAAACCCUGAUGCAGCGACGCCGCGUGAACGAAGAAGGUAUUCGUAUCGUAAAGUUCUGUCCUAUGGGAAGAUAAUGACAGUACCAUAGAAGAAAGCUCCGGCUAAAUACGUGCCAGCAGCCGCGGUAAUACGUAUGGAGCGAGCGUUGUCCGGAAUUAUUGGGCGUAAAGGGUACGCAGGCGGUUUAAUAAGUCGAAUGUUAAAGAUCGGGGCUCAACCCCGUAAAGCAUUGGAAACUGAUAAACUUGAGUAGUGGAGAGGAAAGUGGAAUUCCUAGUGUAGUGGUGAAAUACGUAGAUAUUAGGAGGAAUACCAGUAGCGAAGGCGACUUUCUGGACACAAACUGACGCUGAGGUACGAAAGCGUGGGGAGCAAACAGG
rnacentral:rRNA from 1 species